rnacentral:rRNA from 1 species
UACGUAGGCAGCGAGCGUUGUUCGGAGUUACUGGGCGUAAAGCGUGCGUAGGCGGUGUCUUAAGUCUGUUGUGAAAUCUCCCGGCUUAACCGGGAGGGUGCGGCGAAUACUGAGAUGCUGGAGUGCGGGAGAGGUAAGCGGAAUUCCUGGUGUAGCGGUGAAAUGCGUAGAUAUCGGAAGGAACAUCAGUGGCGAAAGCGACUUCCUGGACCAAUACUGACGCUCAUGUGCGAAAGCGUGGGGAGCAAACAGG